rnacentral:rRNA from 1 species
UACGAAGGGGGCUAGCGUUGCUCGGAAUCACUGGGCGUAAAGCGCACGUAGGCGGAUAUUUAAGUCAGGGGUGAAAUCCCAGAGCUCAACUCUGGAACUGCCUUUGAUACUGGGUAUCUUGAGUAUGGAAGAGGUAAGUGGAAUUGCGAGUGUAGAGGUGAAAUUCGUAGAUAUUCGCAGGAACACCAGUGGCGAAGGCGGCUUACUGGUCCAUAACUGACGCUGAGGUGCGAAAGCGUGGGGAGCAAACAGGAUUAGAAAACCCCUGGGU